GACGAACGCUGGCGGCGCGCCUAACACAUGCAAGUCGAACGAGCGAGAGAGAGCUUGCUUUCUCGAGCGAGUGGCGAACGGGUGAGUAACGCGUGAGGAACCUGCCUCAAAGAGGGGGACAACAGUUGGAAACGACUGCUAAUACCGCAUAAGCCCACGACCCGGCAUCGGGUAGAGGGAAAAGGAGCAAUCCGCGUUGAGAUGGCCUCGCGUCCGAUUAGCUAGUUGGUGAGGUAACGGCCCACCAAGGCGACGAUCGGUAGCCGGACUGAGAGGUUGAACGGCCACAUUGGGACUGAGACACGGCCCAGACUCCUACGGGAGGCAGCAGUGGGGAAUAUUGCACAAUGGGGGAAACCCUGAUGCAGCGACGCCGCGUGGAGGAAGAAGGUCUUCGGAUUGUAAACUCCUGUUGUUGAGGAAGAUAAUGACGGUACUCAACAAGGAAGUGACGGCUAACUACGUG
rnacentral:rRNA from 1 species